GGGCCCGUGGUCUAGUUGGUUAUGACGUCGCCUUGACGAGGCGAAGAUCCUGGAUUCGAAUUCCAGCGGGCCCACCA
rnacentral:tRNA from 1 species